ensembl:lncRNA
AGGUCAUUUCUCGUCUAUCAGUGUUUCUCUUUCGAUUCUGAUUUGUGUUGCUGUUAAAAUUGCAUCAGGUAAGAAUCAAAUUGGAUAUAAAUUAAUGCAGCAACGUUUCCUCAAUGAUUUAUGAAUGAUUUAUGAAAUAUUAGCCAACAGAAGACAGUUGUUUACUUCAUUUAGUAUUUUAAAUAAUAUUUCACUGCGCUCUUAUAUUAAUGUUUAAUCGUGUCAUUGAACACCAGGAAGAAACUAAAGUUCUGCGUGAGCUUUCUUUUAUUAACCUGAUUUUUUUUUUUUUUUUUUUUUUACUUGUGGCAAUAGCCUGAUUAUUAAUAUUUUAUGUAGGCUAUAGAUCAUAAUCAAAACUCAAAAUCAUAAUUUCACUAAUCAAAUUUGUGUUGAUCUUUGUAAUGUUCUACACAGUCAGUUCAAUUAGUAAUUGCAAAUAUGGUUAAGUCAGCUUUUCACUGCACAAAUGUUUUUAUUUUUAUUUUUUAUCAUUUAUAAUGGCUAAACAAUCUGUUCUCUCUCUCUUUUUGUGUGUUUGAUAUUUCUUUUCUUUAGGAGCAGCAGGUAGACACAGUCCAUAUCAUGAUCGUCCUAACAGUAAGUAAAUUAAAUCACUGGCAGUAAUAUCAAGAUGUGUUAAAAAUUUAUGAGUUGUAAUAUUGUGUUGUAACUGUUAAACUAGCCUAUAGUUUACUAAAAAAUGAAAAUGAUUAGUCUCAGCGUCAGUUUUUAUACUUUCACAUUCUAGCGGAUCGACUGAGAUUAAUUUUGGUCAUUAUAUUUUGGAUUUGUAUGUGAUCCCUUGACUAUGUUCCUUUCGUAUUGUCUGUGUAAGCAUUAAUUAAUAAAGAUAAAAAAAGUGCACUUCACUUUGGGACAGCUGUCCAGUGUGACGCGGCUCAUCUCGUUGGAUUCGCCUCGCGGUGAUGACGUCAUCGCUCCCGCGCGCUUCACUGGGAGUUUUCUGAGGUUCGGUGCUCUUUAUGUGUCUGCUAACACUAAUAUAAAGAGAGUUAUACAUUUUAAAUCGAUCGUCAUCAUCAGUUGUCUGUCUCUCUUCACAUAGAAAACGCCUACAAGUACAAGGAUCAAAGCAUCAGGAAGAAGAGACAGAGUUUAUUGAAGGACAGAGAGAACAUGAGAGAUCCAGAACCCUGCAGAAUCAAACACACUGAAGAACAAACAGGUUGUGUUUAUUCUUCAUCUUUUUUAUCAGAGAGGCUGAAGAACCAUUAGGUUAUAACACAUUUCAGUUGUUUAGUGUCUGUAGAAUGAAAAAACAUAAACCAAUUAUAUAUACACACUACUCACAAAAAGUUAUGGAUAUUCGACCUUCGGGUGGAAUUUAUGGAAAAUGUAAAACGUUCAAGCUACAGUGAUAUUAUAUCAUGAAAGUAGCGCAUUUAAGUAGAAGCAUGCAAUGGUGAUUUCUUCAUCUAAAACUAUUUAUUAAAACUAAAGCUAUCAACAGUGGUGGGAAUACCACAACAAAAAAGCUAAUGUCUCAAUAACUUGUCAUGUGUCCUUGAGCAUCAAUUACAGCUUGACAACGGUGUCUCAUAUGCCCUUUUGCAAUAGUGAGUCCAGUUCUGCAGAAACAGCUUGUCGGACAGAGAACGCAGUCUGCGUAACUUUUCGUGUACCGGGGCAGGAUCCGGUUUGACUGUAGACUUAUGGACGCAAUACAGCAUGCUAUCUUGCAUCAGGCCAUGAGCCCUCUGUAGCAUUAAUGCCAGCAAAUAUUUCUUGAAAAUUUUCCGCCAAGUAACAAAAGGAAUCGCAAGCUCUCCGCUGCAUGGCAGAAAAGGCACAGGCGUAGGCACGGAAACCAUCGUCGCCAAUGUGUUGAGUCCUCUAGUACUCAGUAACUGCACAAGUAAAUCCUCUUAACUUUUUAUUUAACACAUGCUACAUUUUACAGGACAGGCUUCUUCUUAGAUAAUACUGAGUAGCACCUGUACACUUAAGCAA